UUUUUUUUUAAGUCAGCUUAAUUCACAGGUUUGACAGAGGACUUCUAGAUCACUACCUUUAGAGAGUUCAGUGCUCCUGUCAGGGAACUACUGUGUUCUGAUGUUUGCAAGACACGAGAUCUCAGAACAGUGCUCAGGCGUGGAUUUAAAAUGCUGAAUCACUACAAACACUUUCUGCAUCGCUUUCCUGAAAAAAUUUGUAACCUAUACAUGUAAGAAACAAUCUUUAUGUUUAGUGGAUCAUUGAAUAGACAAUCAAAUCAAUUAAAACAACUUCUGGAAUAAUAA